GGAUUUGUUUUGAUACAAAGCUUAGGUUUCGUUUUUAGAUGUGCUCAAGCAUAAGGAACAAAAGAAAAGAGAAACAAUGAAUAUAUUCGAUAGGCAAGGCACACUGACUGCUACAAAUAAAGAAAGCAACAAUCUUGUUGGAGCUAAAAAGAAAAGGAGGGUUGCUGAGGAAGAAAGGCAUCUCUGAACCAGAAAUACUUUCCCCGACUGUGAGCUGAGGAGGUGCUGGGUUGGGGAAGAGGAGAGGAGGGUAGGGGAGUGGGGGUGGGGAGAACAUAGCUUACAGACCUUACCAUCAGAACCUCGAAUCAUAAAACAAGUCAAUCCACGUUCUGGACCUGCUUAACUUCAUCUGUUGGGAGGUUUUCCCUUCAGCAGAACACUGAGCCAAUUGUAAAUGUUGAAUGAAAAUCCUGAACAAGUUAAAUACGACCUUAGGAAUUCAAAACCUGCCCCAGGAAUUAACAGCCAUGGGAGGAGGAUAUUGCUUUGGAUCCCUGUUCUUUCAGAUGCACACAUUUUUAAGACUACUUAACCAACAGAUUGUGUCAAAGAGACUUUAGCACCUUAAGCUUAUUUCCAUCCCAGAAUGCAUUCUUCUGAAACCCCUCUUUCCUAAUUGUCUUUGGUUUUCGCAGAUCUCCCACUGAUGUUUAAGGAAACAUCUGCAAAUCCUGUUGCACAGAUUCUAGUCUUUACAAGUUGCUGUUAGCUGCAUGGCUCCCAAGAUCCUCUGCUUUGGGGAUGUUUGCAUCAUCUUCUGCUGAGGAAUAUUUUGUUCUUUAAUAUCAUUUGGUCUGGGUAACAAUUUGGAAAGUAUGUCUAAAAUAGAUGGACUUUACAUUUUUAAAAUAAGUGACACAUAAUCAAUUAGUGACAAUAAUAAUUGCAACACCCAGAAGAUUUUGCUUUUAUUGUAUUUAUCCCAAUUUGCUGAAAUAGUUUAAAUGAAUCAGCCAUAUAAACAUUUAUAUCUGUGUAGACUUAUUUUAAAUGAAAUACAUUUCUAAUAAUAUAUGCAUUUAUUUUUUAUUUUUAAAAUUAGUUCAUUAUAUUUAGAUGAAUAUACUGUAGCUGUUUUCAGACACACCAGAAGAGGGCAUCGGAUCCCAUUACAGAUGGCUGUGAGCCACCAUGUGGUUGCUGGGAAUUGAACUCAGGACCCCUGGAAGAGCAGUCAGUGCUCUUAACCACUGAGCCAUCUCUCCAGCCCAAUAUAUAUUUUUAUAUUUAAGAAGAAAACUUUAUACCAUUUGAUAGGAAAGUCAAAUUAUUUUUCUAUUGACUCUGAUAACUAGGUUUUUAAAAAAAUUGAAUGGAUGGUCUUUUCAUUCAUUUUUCUAUAUUUUUCUCCUUUUUCCUUUUCCCCUAGCCUAACUUUUGACUCUCUCUCUUCUCUCUCUCUCUCUCUCUCUCUCUCUCUCUCUCUCUCUCUCUCUUAACAGAAAAUACUUUAGGAGGGCAUAUUGGCAUAUACAGGCAAGAGAUGCUGAGGCCAGCAUCAACUAAGAAAACUUUAUCCAAAAACAUACAUAAAUGACAAUAAUAAAAGGAAGAAGGAAAGAAAAGAAAAGGAAGAAUUUACACAGAAGAGAGGAAUCACUGAGUCUUAACCCAUUGAGGUUGUUAAAGCUCUAAUAAUACAUGGGCUAAGGAAAACAGCAAGUAACUUCAAACCACCAUAGAGAAGGAAAUCUGUACCUUAUACUGGCACCAAUGCCCAGCUCAACAACUGGGUUAGCAUAAAUUAUUGAACCUUUUGUGAGGUUGCAGUAACAUAAUUUACAUGUCCUUGGGAAAAUCCUGCAGUGGCUCUCUCCAUUUGAACUCUAUACACACAAUGAGGGAAAUUAAAACUGGUUUACUGCAUGAAAACCGGUUGAUAGCCUCAGUUUAGUUAGAGGUCAAAACAGGAAGUGCCAUUGUUACUGUGCAGGAACAUGAAAGCUUCUUUCUUUAGAACACCUGGAAGCUUCUUCCCCAGGAGGCCAUUUUGCCCGAAGGAACUUUGGGUGGGACCAUAUGGCUUCCUGCAGUUUCUUCAAAGGGGUAAAGUUUGUUUUUGUUUUAGAAUACAGCUUAAAGGAAAUACACUUAGCCAUUUUAGAAGAGAAUAACAUUUAGCUGAUUUUAGAUUGUUGAGCAUCUGUGAUCAUAAAAGAUGAUCAAGCCUGAUGAAAUGCCACUUUAUAUUUAGAGAGAAGGCUCAGUACGUUUUUUUCCCAAAUAAUUUCUUUUUAAAUCUAUACCUGCUUUGGGGAAGUCUGUCUGUCCACUGCUGAGAGUGGAUAAUAUGCUUUCGUGGUAGACGUCAUCCUCCCCAAAUGCACUCGUGCUGAAAGUUCAGGUGGAAUGGGGUUCUAACUUCUUGAAGCAUAAUUUCAUUUCCUUGGCUUCCUUGAGUAAGUAUUCACAAAUCACUUUUAUAAUAUCUGCUACCUUGGAAUGGCAUUUUAAAUAAAGAAAAAAAAUCUUGAGACUAAAAAAAUGAAAGUAAAUUCAAGAAAGAAAUAAUAUACUAAAAAUUGUUUUGACUUUUUCUCCUACUCUUCCAAGGUUUUCAUAGCUCACUUUUGACGGCAAACGUUCUGGAAUGACUCAUCAUUCAAAAUAAGUACAGGCAGUUUUUUACCAAGAGAAUGACUUUAGUCUCCCUUUUUCAUCUCUUGCUGAAAUAUGACUGUUUCAGACCCAACUACACCAAUAUACCGAGGGACGAUAUUGACAAUUGUUGUUUCUACCCUAGACUGUGAGCAUACUACAAAUCCAACUUAAUGCAGUAAUCUAGGAAGGUAAAGGCCCCACAAAAUGGACCAGGAAGCAAGGUAAGAUGCCGCUCAGCAGACACCCAGCUCCAGCAGAGGACUGGUUCCUGGGAACCUUUUGUGGAUCUUCUUUGUGAUCCUUUAAAUUCAACACAACCUGCUGACUGCACCUUAUAAUGAUUUCUGCUCCAGUCUGUGGAAGAGGAAAUAAUGCCUUAUUGAUCUGUGCGGCUUUUGCUAUGACUGGCUUUAAGGAAAAAUGGGCAUUUUGCGAAAACAUUGAACCAGUAUAACAAAAUUUGCUUGACAUUGUGGUUUUUGUUAUAGAAAGAAACAAACUAAGAAAGGCCCCAGUAAGAAUUAACAGAGUAGAAGAGGGAGUGGCCAUAGUCUACACCUGAGACUGACGCAAUCAGAGAGCUUCUUUGUUUGCUACCACUUUCUCUAAGAUCAGGGUGCACCUGCCCACUGACUGUUUGACAAUUUAUUGGUUUUAUUCAUGCUGUUGGAAUUUGGAAAUAGAAAAUUUAGAGAAAAGAAGAACAUGAUUAUAGAAUCAAAUUUCUACUUAAAAAGACAAUGGUAUUCUUGCAGGAAACAUUUGUAAGAUAAAAAAAUUUCAUUUAAAAAGUAUUUUACAGUUUAAAACACACUUUCAUACAGUUUUAUAUGAGGGUCCAAUGAUGGCAGUUCAGGAUUAUAGCCUGAGACUGCCAGAAGAGAGACCCUAAACCAUGCUUCUUGCAUCUGCAUCUAACACUGAAGUCCAUCUCUCUCCUGUCUCUGCCCUUCCUCCUCCUCCUCUCUGCAGUUCUGGAAUGCACUUCAUGAAUGUUGCAAAAAAUAGAUUGCACGGAGCCGUAUUGGAUUUGGGCCUAGUCGAUUUUUGACUGCAUGGCUCAAAGUGGCUAGGUGACUUGGGCUAUUUGGCCACAGAGACUCACCCCUAAGAUGACUACAUUAAGUCUUAAGAUUGUUGAAUGAAAGCCUCUCCCAUGAAUUUACGGCACAGGAAGAUAACAUUCAAGGGAUGCCUCAGCUCCCUUAGCAGAUACCUGUUACCUCCUGAAUCAACACCCAGUGUCUCCACUGCCUGACCUCUUUGCCUCCAGCUAUCACUGCCUAUAUCCGCACCUCCCCCUCCUCUGUGUUUCACAAAGGACACUCCCCCUACCUGAAAGCCUUAAAAGCUGUAACAUUCACCCCAAUAAACGAGACCUUGACAACAGAACUUUUGCUUGGUCUCCUUCUUCUCUUCACCCCCAUUUUGGCCCACAGGUAGAAAGCCUCUUCAGGACCCUGAAUAACUGGGUCCCUGCUGGCGGGGACAAGUGGCGCCCGAACACAGGGACCCCGAAGCAAGGCUGACUACAGGACGACGGAGAUAAGAGAGCUGCAGCGGGAAUGGAGGACUCUUCAGGCCGUAUUGCUCCUGCGUUGCUGAAGAGGGAGCACAAGAAGUUUACAUUCAUGGAAUGUUUUCAGCCACAACAAGACCCUUCUGGAUCUCCAACAAGGUUUGACCCCUGCUGAGCCCUGCCCUUGCAUGUGGAAGCUUUUUGUUCCCAACUGGCAGUCUGGCCAGGUACUUCUCACCUGAGUCAGAAUUAGGCUGGCCUUCCUGGUUAUUUCCCUAAUUUAUUCAGGCCACAUAGUCUGUCCUUUGUUACCGAAGUCUCAGCCAGGGUUCCCCACUGUGCUUCACAGAUACCUGCUAAGUGCUGUACUUUAGAUAUAUAGUUUGGUCCAUAAAGAAACCAGAGGCCUUUUCCUCUUCUGGCUUGACAAGGAAAAAAAAAAGAAAAAAAAAAAAAGAAAAAAAAUCAAACAGAUAGCGAUUGUUACAAGACUUACGAAAGAUUGAUGAGGUUUUAGAACUUGUGAGAGCAUUACAGCCAGUUUGCUUACUCCAACUGCCAUUUCAAGAUAGAUUUAGAGGACUGAUUUUAUACAAUUUGUUUACGUCCUGGCCAUUGUGAGUUUUCAUUUCAUGAGCUUGCUUAUAAUUUUAGAGAGCCCACAAAGUGAUAUCAUUAAAAAUUUUACAAAAGAAUGGCUAAUAGCCUUAUAUUAUGUGAUUUUGUCGCUUCUUCAAUGUAAGAAGUUAGAACCUUAAAUCUUUCAGUGUAUAUGGAAAUUUUUACUACAAACCUUUGCUCUCAAAAUGAGCUUUAAUAUUUGGGGAGUAGCUGUUACACUACUCCAGAAAAGAAUAUUUAAAGCUAAUUUUAAGCUUCUAAGGAUAUGUUAAUUGACUAAAUAUCUCACCUUACCAGAGGACUUAAGCCUUCCUUUGUUAUCCUCAUUGGAGAUAAAGCUUAAGUUGUGUUAAUACAGAAUUGUAGACUAGAGUCAUGGAAGUAUUUUAAAAAAGAAACCUGGUAAAACAUAUCUUAUUCCAAACAACAAUUAAAUUGGUUAUUACAAAAUGCUGAUAUUUGGCCUAUCACAUAUACAAAUCUCAGGCAAAAUUGAUAAUUUUACUCUUUGCAUGCUUUUGUAUUUCCUAUAAAUUUGUGCAUGCAACUCAUAGGAAAUGAGCUUACUAUAUUUAUAGGUGGUUCAUCUAAUGAAAAGGCUACAUAUAUGAUUGGAUCACUUGUUUAUUCUCUUCAGUUUCCCCUGCUUUAGCACAGAUUAUUAAAUUACGUGCUGUAGCCACUGUUUUAAAAAAAAAAUCGGGGCUGGGGAUUUAGCUCAGUGGUAGAGCACUUACCUAGGAAGCGCAAGGCCCUGGGUUCGGUCCCCAGCUCCGAAAAAAAAGAACCCCCCCAAAAAAAUCAAGCUUUUAAGUCAUAUACUGAUAGCCAAUGUAUGGCUUAUGGUUUACAGUUGAUUAAAAAGUUUCCCUUUUUAGAUACUACUAGCCCUCAAAUUAUAAAAAUGAUAAUGGAGUUGAUAACACACCCUCACAAAAAGAGGAAGACUCCAUUUGCUUACUUUCAAUGCCCAGCCUCACCCUGCCAACUCAGGGAUUUCUAGUAUGACUAAAUCUAGACAAUGUUUACAGGAGUUGACAUUUCUAAUUAAUGCUUAUGUUUAGGUAAAUAAAGCUGGUGAGGGGCUGGAGAGAUGGCUCAGUGGUUAAGAGCACUAAGUACUGUUCCUUUAUAGGCCAUUUAAGAAUUCAAACUGGAUUGCCUAGACCCCUUAGCAAGGGAGGACAAUGAUACCAGACAGAUUAUAGGCCUUACAUAGAAACAAUUAGUCAAAAAAUCUCAUUCUUUAUAUAUCCAAAACAAUAAUGCUAGAGAUAAUAAUUUGGUAUAAAAGUCAAUUUAUAAAUACAAGUGCUCAGUGUCCUCAAUUUAAUCCUCAAGGACUUAUCUUAAUAAAUAAUAUUUUAACAAUAUUUUAAUAAAUAAAAAAGGGGAGUUAUCCCUGUAUGCUAAAAUAUGCUCCUUUUAUUUUAAUUUUAAAAUUUGGAUGCCAAGAAACACUCUGAGUUUAUGGCACCCUACAACUAAGAAGUAUGUUUAUACUUCUGCCUAGGUGAAAUAGAAAGAUCCACAUAUUGGCAUGAUCCUGUUCAGAUAUUUUAUAUGGGGAAGAGGGAAUCUUUGUGUUUUUUAUACAGGAUGCUACAGGAGUGUGCCAGCUGCCCGAGUGGCUGGUGAGCCAUGCUGAUCCUGGGAGCAUGAAGAUUCAGCUCUCCUGGUUCGGGUCCCUGGAGUCAUUCCUGUGUCCUUGGAGGAAUAUGGAGGAUUCCCACUCAUCUUUUGUCAUCACAGAAAUUUUGGCGUUGCUACAGUCAGUGUUACCACUGCGUGUUCCCGUCCCACCACGGCCUAUGCUCAGACCCUCUGUGCACUGCUGCUUGCUGCAGAAGACUGGACUCCAGCUGUUACCCCGCCCCCCUCAUUCCCCUGGCGACUCUUGCUGCCUUAACUGGUGCUAUUGUUAGGCAAGCACAGUGGGUGAACUUUCUGAAGUAGUUGCUAACAAUUGGGAAUUCUAAAUUUUAUUACAGGAGAGGCUUGACUAGGCCCUUGGUAGUAUGGCCAUAGCAGCUGAGGAGAACGAGAUGAGGUGCCCACUACUUAUCAUCGGGAGAGGCUCAAUUUCCACAAUCUCUUAUAUUAAUGCCAUCUGGCUCCUACUCUUUCGCCCCUGGGCUCAAGUAAGAGGAAUGAGAAGAUGAUCCAAUGUAGCUAUCCUCAGGGAUGGGCAACUUCCUCUGACCCUUGACCAAUCUAAGACAGGAACCUUGGGGGCGACAAGGUAAUCCUAUGACGGAUAAGGCUGGGGUUCGAAAGGUCGAUCCUAAGACAGAGGUGGCUACACCCCGUUUAAAUGUACGGGCCGGUCAAAUGCUCCUCGGCCCAGUUUCUCCCCCAAUAAACACACGUAUAGCCCAGAACGGUGUGUUACAGCAUAAGUUCAUUCCUAGCCAUUGGGGUACAGUCCUAACUGCAAGAGUGGCUCACCAUGGCCGAGCUGGGCACUCUGUGAGGCAUGUCUGAUCUCUCUCAGACCACUACUUCCACCUAAUGGUCUUUUAUAAAAGAAAAAUGGGGGAGAUGCACGGAGCCGUAUUGGAUUUGGGCCUAGUCGAUUUUUGACUGCAUGGCUCAAAGUGGCUAGGUGACUUGGGCUGUUUGGCCACAGAGACUCACCCCUAAGAUGACUACAUUAAGUCUUAAGAUUGUUGAAUGAAAGCCUCUCCCAUGAAUUUACGGCACAGGAAGAUAACAUUCAAGGGAUGCCUCAGCUCCCUUAGCAGAUACCUGUUACCUCCUGAAUCAACACCCAGUGUCUCCACUGCCUGACCUCUUUGCCUCCAGCUAUCACUGCCUAUAUCCGCACCUCCCCCUCCUCUGUGUUUCACAAAGGACACUCCCCCUACCUGAAAGCCUUAAAAGCUGUAACAUUCACCCCAAUAAACGAGACCUUGACAACAGAA